CGACGUGAGUAACCUGCCUUGGAGUGGGGAAUAACAGUUGGAAACAGCUGCUAAUACCGCAUAAUAUGUCUGUGUCGCAUGGCACUGGACAUCAAAGAUUUAUCGCUCUGAGAUGGACUCGCGUCUGAUUAGCUGGUUGGCGGGGUAACGGCCCACCAAGGCGACGAUCAGUAGCCGGACUGAGAGGUUGGCCGGCCACAUUGGGACUGAGACACGGCCCAGACUCCUACGGGAGGCAGCAG
rnacentral:rRNA from 1 species